UACAGAGGUCUCAAGCGUUGUUCGGAUUCAUUGGGCGUAAAGGGUGCGUAGGCGGCGCGGUAAGUCGGGGUGUGAAAUCUUGGAGCUUAACUCCGAAACUGCAUUCGAUACUGCCGUGCUUGAGGACUGGAGAGGAGACUGGAAUUUACGGUGUAGCGGUGAAAUGCGUAGAUAUCGUAAGGAAGACCAGUGGCGAAGGCGGGUCUCUGGGCCGAUAUUGACGCUGAGGAGCGAAAGCGUGGGGAGCGAACAGG
rnacentral:rRNA from 1 species